rnacentral:tRNA from 1 species
GGGUCGAUGCCCGAGUGGUUAAAGGGGACGGACUGUAAAUUCGUUGACAAUAUGUCUACGCUGGUUCAAAUCCAGCUCGGCCCA